GUCGUUCAUACAGUACUGCAAUAAACAGUGAUCUGUCAUGUACACUACCUUGGAAUCAAUCUGACGAGUGGAUGAAAAUGUUGGAAGAGAGAUGAUUGAAUUAUCUUCAUAGCAACCUAUACUCUCUUCUCUGACCCUGUCUGCAAUUGAGAUGGCUGCGAUCUUGCGGGGUUGAAUACAUAUGAUUGAUUCAUUGGCAGCGAUUCCUGAAUCAGCAAGAAAUUGGACCAACUGUGUACUUUUUCCCGAACCAGUCUCCCCGACUAAUACAAUUACCUGCUUGCCACAAAUUUUCCUCAGAA
rnacentral:misc_RNA from 1 species